UAAGGAAUAUUGGACAAUGGGGGCAACCCUGAUCCAGCCAUGCCGCGUGAGUGAAGAAGGCCUUCGGGUUGUAAAGCUCUUUCAGGUGCGAAGAUGAUGACGGUAACACCAGAAGAAGCUCCGGCUAACUCCGUGCCAGCAGCCGCGGUAAUACGGAGGGAGCGAGCGUUGUUCGGAAUCACUGGGCGUAAAGCGUACGUAGGCGGUCCUGCAAGUCAGGAGUGAAAGCCCAGGGCUUAACCUUGGAAUUGCUCUUGAAACUGCAAGACUAGAGUCCCGGAGAGGUUGGCGGAAUUCCGAGUGUAGAGGUGAAAUUCGCAGAUAUUCGGAGGAACACCAGUGGCGAAAGC
rnacentral:rRNA from 1 species